rnacentral:lncRNA from 10 species
GGAUUACAGACAUGAGCCACUCAGCCUGGAAGUUUUAAACGACAUGUGUGACUCAUAAUCCAAAAUACGGAGCUGGCAUAUACUUCACCAAGAACCUCAAAAACCUGGCAGAGAAGGCCAAGAAAAUCUCUGCUGCAGAUAAGCUGAUCUAUGUGUUUGAGGCUGAAGUACUCACAGGCUUCUUCUGCCAGGGACAUCCGUUAAAUAUUGUUCCCCCACCACUGAGUCCUGGAGCUAUAGAUGGUCAUGACAGUGUGGUUGACAAUGUCUCCAGCCCUGAAACCUUUGUUAUUUUUAGUGGCAUGCAGGCUAUACCUCAGUAUUUGUGGACAUGCACCCAGGAAUAUGUACAGUCACAAGAUUACUCAUCAGGACCAAUGAGACCCUUUGCACAGCAUCCUUGGAGGGGAUUCGCAAGUGGCAGCCCUGUUGAUUAAUCUCUACAUCAUUUUAACAGCUGGUAUGGCCUUACCUUGGGUGAACUAACCAAAUAAUGACCAUCGAUGGCUCAAAGAGUGGCUUGAAUAUAUCCCAUGGGUUAUCUGUAUGGACUGACUGGGUUAUUGAAAGGACUAGCCACAUACUAGCAUCUUAGUGCCUUUAUCUGUCUUUAUGUCUUGGGGUUGGGGUAGGUAGAUACCAAAUGAAACACUUUCAGGACCUUCCUUCCUCUUGCAGUUGUUCUUUAAUCUCCUUUACUAGAGGAGAUAAAUAUUUUGCAUAUAAUGAAGAAAUUUUUCUAGUAUAUAACGCAGGCCUUUUAUUUUCUAAAAUGAUGAUAGUAUAAAAAUGUUAG